rnacentral:rRNA from 1 species
GACGAACGCUGGCGGCGUGCUUAACACAUGCAAGUCGAACGGAAAGGCCCCUUUGGGGGUACUCGAGUGGCGAACGGGCGAGUAACACGCGAGUAACCUGCCCUUGACUUCGGGAUAACUUCAGGAAACUGGGGCUAAUACCGGAUAGGAAUCCUUGCUGCAUGGUGGGGGUUGGAAAGCUUCGGCGGUUUUGGAUGGACUCGCGGCUUAUCAGCUUGUUGGUGGGGUAGUGGCUUACCAAGGCUUUGACGGGUAGCCGGCCUGAGAGGGCGACCGGCCACAUUGGGACUGAGAUACGGCCCAGACUCCUACGGGAGGCAGCAGUGGGGAAUAUUGCACAAUGGGCGGAAGCCUGAUGCAGCAACGCCGCGUGCGGGAUGACGGCCUUCGGGUUGUAAACCGCUUUCAGCAGGGGCGAAGCUUGUGGUGACGGUACCUGCAGAAGAAGCACCGGCUAACUACGUG